UCAAUAUAAUCGUCGCAUCACGUUUGAAAUAGAAAUAAUUUACGGACGUACGGCGAUUAGAAUAAUUCACUUACGUAAGAUUCUUCACAAUGUGAUAAGCACCGUCAAAAAUCGAUUCCCUGCGAAUCGCGGAGAGACCGGAAAGACCGGAUUGGUUCGAUAAUCCGUGAAAUAUACAUAUGAGACAAGUUUACGUAUACGCCAGAGAGUGGACAAAUUGCCUCGUUGGCACAGUACGUUGAGGAGGAAACACUCACCGUGUCUCAAUGUCAGCGAUUAACCUCAAGAGACUUUUAUUCGCGACCUCACGCGCUCCGGCGACCGAAGUUAUCGCAAAGCGAACGUCAAGCGAAAAUGGAAAUGAGAGAGGUAAAAGAGAUAGAUACCCACAGGAGAGACGCUGGAACAGAUGUAACCACCGGCUCAUGUGGAUCUACCUCGAUCGCGCGCACAUUUGCAAUAGAUUCUAGCGAAGAUACUCGGGGUCACGGGUGCUGCGGAGAAAUGUCACGCGUUUUGCCAUAGAAUGUGUUCGCGCAGCCCACGGUCGGAUUUGUCGAUCAUUACCUUUCGUUACGAUCCUCGCGCGCGCCGUCGUGAUUCGAGAGAGAGAGAGAGAGAGAGAUUCGACCUUUUUGUCAGAAAGGAAAAUUGAGGAGGGAGAAAA